rnacentral:rRNA from 1 species
GACGAACCGUGCGAACGUUAUUCGGAAUCACUGGGCUUAAAGCGCGUGUAGGCGGGCGGGUACGUCGGCGACUGAAAGCCCCCGGCUCAACCGGGGAAGGGGUGCCGAAACGGCCGGCCUGGAGGGGCGUAGGGGGACCUGGAACUUCCGGUGGAGCGGUGAAAUGCGUUGAGAUCGGAAGGAACGCCCGUGGCGAAAGCGAGGUCCUGGACGCCAUCUGAUGCUGAGACGCGAAAGCCAGGGGAGCGAACGGG